UACUCUCACACUUCUGAUCUUUUGGAUUUGGAGUGGUGGACUUGGGUGUUGCCACUUGACGGUGGCUCACCUCUAAUGCAUUAGUGCAACUCCUGGUUGGACCAUAGUACGGCGUGAUAAGUGUCUUCGCCGGCACCUCGUGAGAGGGUGGCUGAUCGGGAGCUCUGUGCUUCUUAAACUGUCUUUGGACAAUAUCUGACA
rnacentral:misc_RNA from 1 species